UCUGCAGGGUAAAGUGAAGGCCAGUUAUGGUACAAAACUAGUCUUUGGUGUCAGACCCAAUUCAAGGCUUCAAUAUCUUCCUCUGAAGAUGAGGUCACUGAUGUACUCAGGGAGGAUGUGAGGAUCAGAGAAAUGGCUGUGCAGUGUUGUGGCUGAUGGUCAGCUCUCCUGAUAGCAUUUACCAUAAAACUAUUGGAGGAUGUGCUCCAACUAAAUGAGCAAAGCAAGCAAGCAAGAUAAUAACACGGAAUUCAGGAAACGGAGAAUCUAGCCUUGCAGACAGACACUCUGAAAUAUUAAAGAAGGUUAAUAAUUAAAGCUAAUCUUGAACCAGUUCAAAGCUCCAGCACUAAUAAUCUGAGCCACUUGGCUAUUUCUGUGACUUCCUCAUCAUGCAGAAAUCUGUUCAUCAGUACUCCUAACACCUCAGGCAGGUAGACUUGGUGAAGAGACAGUAUGGCCUGCCUCACCUCAUUGCAUCUAUAUGGACAAUUCCAGAAACUCACAGAGAUUUUGCUCAACUGUCUUCACUCAUCUAGGCUCAAGUAAACAAUCAAUUUAAAGUAGUUCAUUUGGGGGAACCCUGGGUGGCUCAGCGGUUUAGCGGCUGCCUUUGGCCCAGAAAGUGAUCUUGGAGUCCGGGAUCGAGUCCCGCGUCA